rnacentral:rRNA from 1 species
UACGAGGGGGGCUAGCGUUGCUCGGAAUUACUGGGCGUAAAGCGCACGUAGGCGGUCUUUUAAGUCGGGGGUGAAAUCCUGGAGCUCAACUCCAGAACUGCCUUCGAUACUGGCGAUCUCGAGUCCGGAAGAGGUGAGUGGAACUCCUAGUGUAGAGGUGGAAUUCGUAGAUAUUAGGAAGAACACCAGUGGCGAAGGCGACUCACUGGUCCGGUACUGACGCUGAGGUGCGAAAGCGUGGGGAGCAAACAGG